UACGUAGGCGGAUGGCCAAGUAUCUUGUGAAAUCCCUCGGCUCAACCGAGGAAUUGCAGGGUAAACUGGUCGUCUUGAGGCAGGUAGAGGUAACUGGAACUCAUGGUGGAGCGGUGGAAUGCGUAGAUAUCAUGGGGAACGCCAAAGGUGAAGAUAAGUUACUGGGCCUGUCCUGACGCUGAGGUACGAAAGCGUGGGUAGCAAACAGGAUUAGAUACCCUGGUAGUCC
rnacentral:rRNA from 1 species